rnacentral:lncRNA from 1 species
GACAUUCGUCUUACUAUUACUAUUUGAAAAAAACAAGUCUAUGAAUUUUUAAGUAAAAUGAAGAAAACAUUAGGAAUAAAUGUUUAUUUGAUGGAAAUUAGUACAGUUAUAGUUAGACCAAAGUAUAAUCUAUGGCAGCCUGAGACAAGAAUUUGUGUUAUAUUAUAGUUUGUAUUGAAUUAAUAUUGAUUUGUGAGGGAGAUAAGGGACCAAAGGAUAAAUUUCUUCUGAUGGUCAGGAAAAAUUUACAAUGUAACAAAUCAUGUCAUAAACCGUUGGGUGACAGUGAUAAAUUUACCACGCUAUUUAAACGAUUUUUCAUUUUCAAAUAUUUGAACAAUUGAAAAACAGGAAAUUUGAAAAGUUUAAUAAAAAUUUGGGUAAACAAACAGGUAUUAGAUUUUACUAUUGUAUUUGUAAGUCAUAUUAUAUCGAGGUGUAUAAAUUAAAUGGAUAUUAUAUAUUAGAUGAAAAAUAAUGAUUGAUGAAAGCAACUGUUCAUAAAAAAAUUUUUUUUAUUUGUUUCGGUUAAAUUUAUAUAUAGAAUGGGACAGAUUCGAUACCAUUCUGCAUUUUUCAAAUCAGACAGCAAUCACGAUGUCUGUUUUUAGAGGGUUUUAGUUGCUAUUUAAAAAAAAAAAUGAUAUAUAGCAGUUGAAAUCAAAAUUGCUCAAGCAUUUUCUCUGUACAUGUAGUAGUUUUAAUUUCAACUGUAGUAAUUAAA